CUGAGUUGUCGGCAUGAGCUGUUGCUGGUCCUCAAACAUGGGGGCAUGUGCACGCUCUGUUCACACAUCCACUCACACCUGUGCACCCUCUGUAGUUCUAUGGUCUGGGGGACGCCCCGUCCUCCUCCUGUGGUUCUACGUUUUUACACAUACACCUUAGCAAAGUCUUAUGGAAUGUGCGCCGCGUUUAACGCAAUACAAUA
rnacentral:misc_RNA from 1 species